GGCUCCGUUCAGAUGCCCAGUGUCACUACUGCUUAAAAAUUAGAUCACAGAGUGAUCUAAUGAAUCUCACACUGUCUCCUAGACGACGUUCAGACUGAAGUCUGAACUGAAGAGUCUCUAAGUAGGACUCGCGCCACCCCGCGAGUGUUCGCGUUUUGAAUGCAAGUCGCGACAAUACGGGAGCCCCUAAUAUCGUAUCAAUUCAUCUCCUUCGCUAUCUACCUCUAAAAGAGAAAGAUUUUUAGGAUCCCCAGCAGGGCUGAAAAGCUACAUUGUAAACCAUCACUGGAUGUCACAGAAAAACCGCAAAUCAGAAAAGAAAAAUCUGACGAAUCAGUAAAAUUGACUAAACUUUUUCACACAGUAAAAUUUUCAUUUAGUUCCCUUUAUCUGGAUUUCUCCACUUCCCUGAACAACACGAUGACUCUCAAAAUCGUGUCAUCAGAACUUCUGAAGUCAUCAACUUAGUUGGUCCUUUUUUCACAUACUGUACAAAACUAAGCACGUAAAAUUCCCCAUGUAUCCCAUCUGGAAAUGAA